AAACUUAAAUGAAUUGACGGGGACCCGCACAAGCGGUGGAGUAUGUGGUUUAAUUCGAAGCAACGCGCAGAACCUUACCAACUCUUGACAUGGGACGUAUAAGCUUCAGAGAUGGAGUUUUUCACUUUGGGUGGCGUCCACACAGGUGCUGCAUGGCUGUCGUCAGCUCGUGUCGUGAGAUGUUGGGUUAAGUCCCGCAACGAGCGCAACCCUCAUCCUUAGUUGCCAUCAGGUUUGGCUGGGCACUUUAAGGAAACUGCCGGUGAUAAGCCGGAGGAAGGUGGGGAUGACGUCAAGUCCUCAUGGCCCAUAUGGGUUGGGCUACACACGUACUACAAUGGCAGUGACAGAGGGAAGCGAAGGAGAGAUCUGGAGCGAAUCCUAAAAAGCUGCCUCAGUUCGGAUUGUCCUCUGCAACUCGAGGACAUGAAGUCGGAAUCGCUAGUAAUCGCGGAUCAGCAUGUCGCGGUGAAUACGUUCCCGGGUCUUGUACACACUGCCCGUCACACCAUGGGAGUGGAUUUUACCUUAAGCUGGUGAGCUAACCGCAAGGAGGCAGCCAAUCACGGUAGGAUGCAUGACUGGGGUGAAGUCGUAACAAGGUAGCCGUAGGGGAACCUGCGGCUGGAUCACCUCCUUUCUG
rnacentral:rRNA from 1 species